AGUGGCUUCUUUUUCUUAGUUGUCUUUUGCCAUUGUGUUCUUUGCAAUGAGAUUUAUUUCAGGUUGAAUUACUUCUUGGUAAAGCAUAUUCAGAUUGGAGUGUACAGGCCUAAGAAUGCAUGCAAGUUGGUUACUGACAUUGUUCUUCACUAUGCGUCAUUGUUCUUUAUUAAUUAUGAUUCCCUCUCAUUCCUGCUGGUUGAUGGUAUGCUUCUAGUUUAGAUUUUUUGAGAUGAAUUGGACUUGCAUAUAAAUUUUAUUGGUAUUAUUCUUCUGCAGGGAAUCAUUUUGAAAGAAAACGGUAAAGUUGGAGAUGCAGAGAGGAUGUUUAUUCAGGUUGAAUUACUUCUUGGUUAAGCAUAUUCAGAUUGGGGCCAUAUCAGUGAUGCCGUAUCUGUUUACGCCCGCCUCAUCUCUAGUCACCCAGAUCACUUCCGUGGUUACUUAGCUAAGGGAAUCAUUUUGAAAGAAAACGGUAAAGUUGGAGAUGCGGAGAGGAUGUUUAUUCAGGUGAGUAUAUGAAUAUUUAUUGGCAUAUGCAUG